UACGGGGGGGGCAAGCGUUGUUCGGAAUUACUGGGCGUAAAGGGCUUGUAGGUGGCCAACUAAGUCCGACGUGAAAUCCCUAGGCUUAACCUAGGAACUGCGUCGGAUACUGGAUGGCUUGAAUCCGGGAGAGGGAUGCGGAAUUCCAGGUGUAGCGGUGAAAUGCGUAGAUAUCUGGAGGAACACCGGUGGCGAAGGCGGCAUCCUGGACCGGCAUUGACGCUGAGGCGCGAAAGCCAGGGGAGCAAACGGG
rnacentral:rRNA from 1 species